UACGGCUAAACGUUGUGAUCAAAUGACUUCAGCCAAUUCGUUUUGUGGUUAGCGGCUUAGCGCUCGAACUCGAGAGCGAGCGAGGGAGAAGCAUGGAGCAUCCCAGUCCCUCCUCCCUCCCGCCUCCUCGUCGUCGUCCGGCCCCUCUGUCCAGUCCGCCUCGAGUCCGCGCUCGCUCCCCCAACCCUAGCUUCCGCCCUCUCAAUCCCCUUCUCGUCCCCGCUUCCGAUGGGGUUGGUUGGUUAGAUUUCCUGCAAGAGCGGAGAGCAGGCUUGGCCCGUCCGCUGCGCUCUCUCGAGCUUCCUGUCGUGUCCCGCGGCGCAAACAGUUCAGCGUGGUGUAUGGUCAGGACAUCAGUGUAUGGAUCACAAUAGAUGUAUGAUCAGGUCACCCAUUUACCUACAAAUCAGAGCAUUCCUUGUUGUCCAUGCAUCCAUUAAAUAUGGGAUUCAGUGAAUAUUGGACCUUAUAUAUAUGGGUCUCUCUUUCAUCACAUGAAACUACGAAGGCCAAGGGUGACGUGUCACCAAACCUUAUGUGGUGAAGCAGAUAUUUCGUAAGGCACGUUGUUAGAAUUGGCCGCCAACUGCUGUACAGCCCAUAUGGCAAACAGUUUGUCUCCUAGGAGAGGGUGUUUUCAGGACUACAUGUAUUGAUCAACUAAUUGCGGCAUUGCCUCAUGGGAAUCUCGAUUCAAGGGGUGAUUAUUUUCUUACACCCAAAUCUGUUCCACAAGAGGAGAAGACCAUGUCCAUGUGUAUGAUCCAUUAUUCCAUCUGGCAGCCCCACUUAUGGACAACAAUGCCCUAACAUGCGGCAUGGGUCAAAGCGUGUAGGAAAGACCUGCUGCUCUUAGGAUAACCACUACUGAGGAAGCUCGCAACCUCUUGUACUGGUUCCAGAUUGAGGCUGGUUAUGGAAAGAUGGACAUCAUGUGUGCUCAGCAUGAAUAUUUAAUUCAGGUGGGAUACAUGCUGCCAAUAGCUACACGAUUGCAUUAUAACUUCUCAUAGCAUGAGUUGAUGGGAAUUUUGGUUCCUUUGGAUGGCCUUGCCUACAUUUGCUAGUGUUGAGCCAGUCUCACGCUCACUCAAAAUCGACAAAGUACUUGCACACUUUGCCCAAAAGUAUGCCUAGACAAGUGGUAAGAUGAUUCUUGCUCAUGGAGAUUGAUUCUCCACAGUAAGAAGGAAACUCUUGUGCACAUGCACAAAAGUGUGGCUAGGCAAGCCGCAAGGAGAUCCUUGCUUGUGGAGAUCAAAUUUGCUCUGCCUGAAAAGCAAGUAAAUUCUUGCUUUAUUUGCCCAAAACUAAGGCAACUCAAGGGGCAAUAAUAUUGUUUGCUCACUUUGUCAAAAAGGGUGGCAAUACAAAUGGUAAGAUGAUUCUUGCUCGCGGAGGAUUAUUUCUCCAUAUGAACAAGGAAAUCCUUGUGCACAUGCACAAAAUUGUGGCUAGGCAAGUCACAAGGAGAACCUUGCUUGUGGAGAUCAAAUUUUCUCUUCCUCAAUAUCAAGUAAAUUCUUGCUCUA